rnacentral:rRNA from 1 species
UACGUAGGGGGCAAGCGUUGUCCGGAAUCAUUGGGCGUAAAGAGCGCGUAGGCGGCCCUGUAAGUCCGCUGUGAAAGUCAAGGGCUCAACCCUUGAAUGCCGUUGGAUACUGCAGGGCUAGAGUCCGGAAGAGGCGAGUGGAAUUCCUGGUGUAGAGGUGAAAUGCGCAGAUAUCAGGAGGAACACCGAUGGCGAAGGCAGCUCGCUGGGACGGUACUGACGCUGAGACGCGAAAGCGUGGGGAGCAAACAGG